AGCAACGCGAAGAACCUUACCAGGUCUUGACAUCCUCUGACAACUCUAGAGAUAGAGCGUUCCCCUUCGGGGGACAGAGUGACAGGUGGUGCAUGGUUGUCGUCAGCUCGUGUCGUGAGAUGUUGGGUUAAGUCCCGCAACGAGCGCAACCCUUGAUCUUAGUUGCCAGCAUUUAGUUGGGCACUCUAAGGUGACUGCCGGUGACAAACCGGAGGAAGGUGGGGAUGACGUCAAAUCAUCAUGCCCCUUAUGACCUGGGCUACACACGUGCUACAAUGGAUGGUACAAAGGGCUGCAAGACCGCGAGGUCAAGCCAAUCCCAUAAAACCAUUCUCAGUUCGGAUUGUAGGCUGCAACUCGCCUACAUGAAGCUGGAAUCGCUAGUAAUCGCGGAUCAGCAUGCCGCGGUGAAUACGUUCCCGGGCCUUGUACACACCGCCCGUCACACCACGAGAGUUUGUAACCACCCGAAGUC
rnacentral:rRNA from 1 species